AUUGAACGCUGGCGGCAGGCCUAACACAUGCAAGUCGAACGAGUGGCGGACGGGUGAGUAAUGUCUGGGAAACUGCCUGAUGGUGGGGGAUAACUACUGGAAACGGUAGCUAAUACCGCAUACCAUCAGAUGUGCCCAGAUGGGAUUAGCUAGUUGGUGGGGGAACGGCUCACCAAGGCGACGAUCCCGAGCUGGUCUGAGAGGAUGACCAGCCACACGGGAACUGGGACACGGUCCAGACGCCAACGGGAGGCAGCAGUGGGGAAUAUUGCACAAUGGGGGCAAGCCUGAUGCAGCCAUGCCGAGUGUAUGAAGAAGGCCUUCGUGUUGUAAAGUACUUUCAGCGGGGAGGCGUUACCCGCAGAAGAAGCACCGGCUAACUCCGUGCCAGCCGCCGCGGUAAUUC
rnacentral:rRNA from 1 species